rnacentral:rRNA from 1 species
GACGGGGGAUGCGAGCGUUAUCCGGAAUGAUUGGGCGUAAAGGGUCCGCAGGUGGCCCGGUCAGUCCGCUGUCAAAGCCUGGGGCUCAACCCUGGAGAGGCGGCGGAGACCACCGGGCUUGAGUCCGGUAGGGGCAGAGGGAAUUCCCGGUGGAGCGGUGAAAUGCGUAGAUAUCGGGAGGAACACCAGUGGCGAAGGCGACUUCCUGGCCUGUUCUUGACGCUGAGGCGCGAAAGCUAGGGGAGCAAACGGG